GGUUUUAAAUGUUUUAAGUGCUUUUAAUUUGCUGCACCUUAAAUGGUUGCAGAAAGGCCAUAGUUCAAUGGUAGAGUAUCUGAUUUGCACAUUGAAGUUACAAGGUUCAUUCCCUGCAUCCUCAGCAUGAAAUUUGCCUGCUUCACAGCUGCUGAACACUGCAUCAAAAUCUUCAUCAAGCUAUCUACUAUGACUCCAAGGUCUCAUUCCUGUAGGGGAAGGGAGACUGAAAACUACUACUCAGCUCAAAAUCCCUGACUACAGUUCUCCCCACUUCCAUCAUAAUUCUCCAGUUCAAACAGACCCUUCUCUGAAAGCAAGAAGUGGCUCUGCUGUGAAGAAGGAGACUCUACAGGUAGAAGGACUCCUGAGAGCAGUUCCAAAAUAGGAAGCCCUGCCAGGGUCACAGGCGUGCCAGAUAAGAGACAUCGCAGACUCUCUAAUGGGGAACUGGGCCGUCAACCAUUGGUUUUCAGCUCUUGUGAUUGAGUCCAGGAAGGCAAGCAUUUCUGCAACAACAAGAAAAACAAAUAAAGUUAAUAAAAACAAAUUUAGAACAUCUUAAAAACCUGUCAAAAACAUUCAAAAAACAU